CCUGGUUGAUUCUGCCAGUAGUCAUAUGCUUGUCUCAAAGAUUAAGCCAUGCAUGUCUAAGUAUAAGCAAUUAUACAGCGAAACUGCGAAUGGCUCAUUAUAUAAGUUAUCGUUUAUUUGAUAGUACCUUACUACUUGGAUAACCGUGGUAAUUCUAGAGCUAAUACAUGCUAAAAAUCCCGACUUCGGAAGGGAUGUAUUUAUUAGAUUAAAAACCAAUGCCCCCUGGGCUCUCUGGUGAUUCAUAAUAACUUCUCGAAUCGCAUGGCCUUGUGCCGGCGAUGGUUCAUUCAAAUUUCUUCCCUAUCAACUUUCGAUGUUUGGGUAGUGGCCAAACAUGGUUGCAACGGGUAACGGAGGGUUAGGGCUCGACCCCGGAGAAGGAGCCUGAGAAACGGCUACUACAUCCAAGGAAGGCAGCAGGCGCGCAAAUUACCCAAUCCCGAUUCGGGGAGGUAGUGACAAUAAAUACCGAUACAGGGCUCUUUUGGGUCUUGUAAUUGGAAUGAGUACAAUUUAAAUCCCUUAACGAGGAACAAUUGGAGGGCAAGUCUGGUGCCAGCAGCCGCGGUAAUUCCAGCUCCAAUAGCGUAUAUUAAAGUUGUUGUGGUUAAAAAGCUCGUAGUUGAACCUUGGGCCUGGCUGGCCGGUCCGCCUCACCGCGUGUACUGGUCCGGCCGGGCCUUUCCCUCUGUGGAACCCCAUGCCCUUCACUGGGCGUGGCGGGGAAACAGGACUUUUACUUUGAAAAAAUUAGAGUGCUCCAGGCAGGCCUAUGCUCGAAUACAUUAGCAUGGAAUAAUGAAAUAGGACGCGCGGUUCUAUUUUGUUGGUUUCUAGGACCGCCGUAAUGAUUAAUAGGGACAGUCGGGGGCAUCAGUAUUCAAUUGUCAGAGGUGAAAUUCUUGGAUUUAUUGAAGACUAACUACUGCGAAAGCAUUUGCCAAGGAUGUUUUCAUUAAUCAGGAACGAAAGUUAGGGGAUCGAAGACGAUCAGAUACCGUCGUAGUCUUAACCAUAAACUAUGCCGACUAGGGAUCGGACGAUGUUAUUUUUUGACUCGUUCGGCACCUUACGAGAAAUCAAAGUGCUUGGGCUCCAGGGGGAGUAUGGUCGCAAGGCUGAAACUUAAAGAAAUUGACGGAAGGGCACCACCAGGGGUGGAGCCUGCGGCUUAAUUUGACUCAACACGGGGAAACUCACCAGGUCCAGACACAAUGAGGAUUGACAGAUUGAGAGCUCUUUCUUGAUUUUGUGGGUGGUGGUGCAUGGCCGUUCUUAGUUGGUGGAGUGAUUUGUCUGCUUAAUUGCGAUAACGAACGAGACCUUAACCUGCUAAAUAGCCCGUAUUGCUUUGGCAGUACGCUGGCUUCUUAGAGGGACUAUCGGCUCAAGCCGAUGGAAGUUUGAGGCAAUAACAGGUUGACCUACAC
rnacentral:rRNA from 1 species